GUUCCUUCGGGAGCAAGUAGAGUGGCGCACGGGUGAGUAACACGUAGAUAACCUGCCCCUUAGUCUGGGACAACCCUUCAAAACGAGGGCUAAUACUGGAUAACACUUAGAGUCGAGUGGCUUUAAGUUGAAAGAUUCAUCGCUGGGGGAUGGGUCUGCGUACCAUUAGCUAGUUGGUGGGGUAAUGGCCUACCAAGGCAGCGAUGGUUAGCGGGUCUGAGAGGAUGAUCCGCCACACUGGAACUGAGACACGGUCCAGACUCCUACGGGAGGCAGCAGUGGGGAAUCUUGCGCAAUGGGCGAAAGCCUGACGCAGCAAUACCGCGUGAGUGAAGAAGGCCUUUGGGUCGUAAAGCUCUUUUAUUAGGGAAGAUAGUGACGGUACCUAAUGAAUAAGCACCGGCUAACUCCGUGCCAGCAGCCGCGGUAAUACGGAGGGUGCAAGCGUUGUUCGGAUUUACUGGGCGUAAAGGGCACGUAGGCGGCAUAGCAAGUUAAGGGUGAAAUCCCGGGGCUCAACUCCGGAACUGCUCUUAAAACUGCUAAGCUAGAGACAGUCAGAGGCGGGUGGAAUUCCUGGUGUAGAGGUGAAAUUCGUAGAUAUCAGGAGGAACACCGGUGGCGAAGGCGGCCCGCUGGGACUGUUCUGACGCUAAGGUGCGAAAGCGUGGGGAGCAAACGGGAUUAGAUACCCCGGUAGCCCACGCCGUAAACGAUGAAUACCGGCUGUUUGAGGCAUCGACCCCUCAAGUGGCGCAGCUAACGCGUUGAGUAUUCCGCCUGGGGAGUACGGUCGCAAGACUAAAACUCAAAGGAAUUGACGGGGGCCCGCACAAGCGGUGGAGCAUGUGGUUUAAUUCGACGCAACGCGAGGAACCUUACCAGGGUUUGACAUGCAAGUGGUACGAACCUGAAAGGGAGAGGACCCAGGUUUUGCCUGGGAGCUUGCACAGGUGUUGCAUGGCUGUCGUCAGCUCGUGUCGUGAGAUGUUGGGUUAAGUCCCAUAACGAGCGAAACCCUUGUCGCUAGUUGCUACCGGGUAAUGCCGAGGACUCUAGUGAGACUGCCGGCGUCAAACCGGAGGAAGGUGGGGAUGACGUCAAGUCAUCAUGACCCUUAUGCCCUGGGCUGGACGCAUGCUACAAUGGCCGGUACAAAGGGAAGCGAAGCCGCAAGGUGGAGCGAAGCUCUAAAAGCCGGUCCCACUUGGAAUCGGGGGCUGCAAUUCGCCCCCGUGAACCUGGAAUCGCUAGUAAUCGCGGAUCAGCAAAGCCGCGGUGAAUGUGUGCCCGAGGCUUGUACAC
rnacentral:rRNA from 1 species